UACGUAGGUGGCAAGCGUUAUCCGGAAUUAUUGGGCGUAAAGAGCGCGCAGGUGGUUAAUUAAGUCUGAUGUGAAAGCCCACGGCUUAACCGUGGAGGGUCAUUGGAAACUGGUUGACUUGAGUGCAGAAGAGGGAAGUGGAAUUCCAUGUGUAGCGGUGAAAUGCGUAGAGAUAUGGAGGAACACCAGUGGCGAAGGCGGCUUCCUGGUCUGCAACUGACACUGGGGCGCGAAAGCGUGGGGAGCAAACAGG
rnacentral:rRNA from 1 species